rnacentral:lncRNA from 1 species
GCUCUCCCCCACCCCUUCAGUGCGACAGCCUCAGAGCCCGUGGAGAGGCAGAGCGCAGGCAGCUGGAUAAAUUCGCAGACGUG